UGGCCAUGACCAAAGAGCUGUCGAGGGACAACAGAGACAAAAUCGUAGUCCUGCACCAGGCUGGGAAGACUGAAUCUGCAAUAGCCGCACCGCCACUGAAGCUGGGAAGAAGUGUCACAUCAAGCCGCUACGCUUCUGACAGGGAAUUGUAGAGGGGAAAAUGGUGCGCCUUCGCUUCAGUAGUCCUCAGCACUGCCACCGCUCGCUACCUCCUGCGUCGUUGACGGCAGCACAAACACAGACCUGGGCUGAUAAUCAUCUAAUUGCACUACAAGUACCCAUUUGCACCUUUAUGCCGCCUUCGCUUGCCUGCGCUUCCUGUUAGUCCGUGCAGAUGAAGGUACUGACCAAUGGAAGGAGUUUCCUGUAAAGGACGUCUUCUGGGAUUGGAUGCGCUGAACGAGUAGAAGGGAGCCGCUGACUUUGCUGAUGUGGUCCCCGAACUAGGACUUGUCCCUCCCACGUCUGAGCGGAGAGAUGGCUAUGAGCGAAAAUAGAAAAACAAAACAGCUUUCAUUUUGAGUGUUUCCCUUUGAUAAUCAUUGCGAAAGUGAAAUGUUUAAUUUGAAGUGUUCCCUAUUACAGUACAUAUGUAUAAGAAUUAUAUCAUGGAAUUACCAUAACUACUUUUCCAACACGGCAAUUGACUUUGGCUGAGAGAUUGCAGGUCCCACCGGAAUGCUCAUAAACUAAAGCUAUAUUCACUAUUUAAACUAAAUAACACAUACACCUCUAUAAUUAAUGUGCCAAAAAAGAGUAACAUAUCUUGGGAAGUCAUGAUCACAUAUUUUCUGUGGCCAACUCCAUGUCAUUUGAAUUUGAGUAUCUUCCGAUAUCGAGUCCCGAUCUGACAAAUCAGCAAAGAAUUAUUAAGAAGGAAAACAAAAGUGUGGGUUGAGGUCUAGUACAGUCAUAGAUCAAACAAAGUACAGUGUACUGGUAUACAAAUCAUAUCCCUUUGUAACAGAUACUGUAAGUGCUUAACUGUAAAAAAAAACAAUGCAAAAGAAAAAAAAAACUUUAAUACUAGUAUAUGGCGGAAAACAGACAAGACUGAAAAAGCAGUUUCUGCUCUUGCACUCCUCUUUAAAAGAAACUGCUGUACUUUAAGCCAAAAGAACUGUUGUAUUUGAUAGAACAAUAUCUCUAUAUGCUGCCAUAGCAGAUUCAUGGCGCAAUAAGCCCCCGAACUAUUUUUAAAUUGUCCGUUUUACCCUGGAAACCCCCAUUAACAGAUGUCGCGCAACCGCUUUUGUUUCAACCCCGCCAUAAAACAUAGGUAAUUAAUUAUACUUAUUAUUCAAGAUGUCUGUCAUUCUUAGCUUAGAAUCAUUAAUCGAUGAGUAAUAUUUCGUUUAAAAAAAAAAAAAAAAAGACUUAAAAAUUUUAUUCACUUGCAUAUUUUAAACGUUUAAACAAAUGACGUCACAAUGAAAAAAAUGGUGUCUGUAAAAAAAGUCACUGAUAUCUGCCUUAUAACUAUCGCUUAAUUGUAUUUUUUUGUGUUACUGUCGCAUUUUCUCUGAUAUGUUAGAUGAUAAAUAAUCGAUUCAAACAAAGAAACAUUGAAAAACAAUGUUUAAAAUGUUAAAUAUAUGAAAAAAAAAUCUCGACAACUCAUUGAUGUCUGCGAUUUCUGCACCGCGACCCUUGUAAUAUUACCAUGUUUCACCCAUAAAA